rnacentral:rRNA from 1 species
CACGUAGGGGGCGAGCGUUGUCCGGAAUUACUAGGCGUAAAGGGUGCGUAGGUGGUUUCUUAAGUCAGAGGUGAAAGGCUACGGCUCAACCGUAGUAAGCCUUUGAAACUGGGAAACUUGAGUGCAGGAGAGGAGAGUGGAAUUCCUAGUGUAGCGGUGAAAUGCGUAGAUAUUAGGAGGAACACCAGUUGCGAAGGCGGCUCUCUGGACUGUAACUGACACUGAGGCACGAAAGCGUGGGGAGCAAACAGGAUUAGAUACCCUGGUAGUCCCUGAG